AGUCCUACGGGACGCAGCAGUGGGGAAUAUUGGGCAAUGGGCGCAAGCCUGACCCAGCAACGCCGCGUGAAGGAAGAAGGCUUUCGGGUUGUAAACUUCUUUUCUCAGGGACGAAGCAAGUGACGGUACCUGAGGAAUAAGCCACGGCUAACUACGUGCCAGCAGCCGCGGUAAUACGUAGGUGGCAAGCGUUAUCCGGAUUUAUUGGGGGUAAAGGGCGUGUAGGCGGGGGCGCAAGCCAGAUGUGAAAAC
rnacentral:rRNA from 1 species